CACCACUCUUGGUGAAGUCCUUACUAAUCUUUUAUUUUAAGAUCACACUAUAGUUCUUUUCAUUAACGUAAAGUUUCCUAGAACCAUUAUAGGAAAUGUCUCUCUCCUUACAAAUAGAAUCCAUCUAGGUUCAUUUACAAUAUGAGGUCUAUGUGUUGGCUGGAGUGUAUAAAGCACUUGAGGUAGGCACAAUGGUACAGACAUUUAAUUCCAGCACUAAGGAGGCAAGUAGAUCCCCAUCGAGGCCAGGCUGGUCUACAUAGCAACAUCUGGGCCAGCCAGGGCUACAUGGUGACACCCUGCCUCAAAAGAAAAACAAUCUCAGAGAGAUUUAGAAUGAAAAAUAGCUCCGCGGUAAUCCUUAAUCGUCAACAUCUGAAAGAGUAACAGUCGAAGUAAAGCCUGUCUCCCAAGCAGAUGAAAAAUGUUACAGAUGACUGAGCGAGGGUCUAGAGUGAACAUUGUAGGUAAGAAAGGCAAUCUCAGCCGUUCUCUGUUCGAUUGGCAGACGGCGGGAGUCAGUUAUGAGAGACAUUUUCUUGGAACUGAAAAUUAAAGGAGACACGAGCAAGUCAAUGCUAACAAACCUUGAGCAACAUAGCAAACACCAGGCUACAAACACUCCUGAUAGCAGCUCUUUCCACAAACUGCACUGUGAAAGAUAAACCAUGCCCAGAGCCCAGACCAGUGCUAUCUCUGCAGAGAAGCCAAAGGUCAGGACUUUGAAGGUUAGGGUAAAUAGCUCUUCUUUAUCCCCCAAGCAGUGAUUCUCAACCUUCCUAAUGCCACACCUCUUUAAAACAGUUCCUCAUGUUGUGGUGACCCCCAACCAUGAAAUUAUUUCAUUGCUACUUCAUAACUGUAAUUUCGCUACUCCUAUGAAUCGUAAUGUAAAUAUCUGAUAUGUGACCCCAGGAGGGUGGGGGUCUCAACCCACUGGUUGAGAACUACCGUUUCAAAGCUUUGUGGAAACUAUCUUUAACCCUAACCCCAGCCCCUCUCUCGUUUCUCUCCCCUCAAUCUCCUCCCCCCACUUUCCAAUCAGAUGGCAAUCUCUUCCACAGAAACUUCUUUCUUUUAAGUCCACCGAUCUGGGCUGCAGUUUGCCCAAUUGGUGAAGCACUUGCCUUAUGAGCAUAAAAAUAUGAAUUUGAGCCUCAGAACCCACAUUCUACAAGCCAGCUGUGGCAGCAUGCACUUCUAAUCCCAGCACUGGGCAGGGAGAUGAAAACGGUUUCCUGGGCAUCCCUGGCCAGCCUCGUCUGUUUUAAUGAGUUCCAGGUCAAUGAGAGACCCUGCCUCAGAAAACGAAAGUGGACAAUGCCUGAGGAGCAAUACCAGAGCCUCACCUCUGACCCUCGUACACAUGCUUGCGUACUUUUGCAUGCACCCCUGCACACACACACAUGCAACUACACACACUUGAACACACACAAGCAUAUAGACAUACACAUACAUAUAAAAGUUCGCCAAUAUGCAUUCACAUUUAAGACACUUUACUGUACUUAGAAGCAAAUUCCUUUCAAAAACUACAAAUGAAAAUGUAUUGUAUUGUGUGCACCUAUGAGAUUCUCAAACAAAAGAUUUUUAAACUAAAAAUUACAAGUGAAAUAUAUAUUCUUAGCUCUUGGUGAGAAGCUGAUUACUUGUGCCAGACGAGAUGGCCCAGCAGGUAGAAGAACUUACCACUAGGCGUGAUGAUCUGAGUUCAAUUCACAGGAGGAGAGAACCAAUUCUUCCGAGAUGUUCCUUGACCUCUGUAUGGGCACUCGGACCUACACCCACACACAAUACAUAAAUGAAUAAAAUGCAGUAAAAAUAAAGGAAAGCAGAUUCCCUUGUGGUCAACUAUG
rnacentral:lncRNA from 1 species